GUCAAGGGCUACAUUUCCUGAUGGAUCCCUCAGAGGAGAGCAGUCUCUGGAUGGACCAUAAUUGAUAUAAAAGUUCCUUGAAGCAGAGACCCAGUGCCUACCACAGCAGAAGACAUGUAUUAGUACCCUAUUAAGUUACAUAAUCAAGGAAUAAAUGAAAAGAUGACAGGGACACUGACACAAGGAGGACUGGCUGCAUUUCCUGAGGGCUGAACACACAGCUGCUGAUGUGAACACCCCUGGGCUAGAGUAAUAAAGGGGAGGCUCAUAUGUGGCAUGUUUGUAAAAUGGAACUGCUUCUGUAUCCUCAAAACUAGAGGCCUGAUAACAGUUCCCAGGGUCACAGCUUCCUCGCCGCUUGUCGGACUAUGUUGCUGAACCCAGAUCUGCAGCUCCUCAGGCAGGAUGCUCAG